CAGAUGUUACACUGUAAAAAAGUUAAAUAAACAAACGCCUGUGUCUGCAAACUGUUCAAUGACGGUCGUCACGGCUGCUUUCCUUGCUCUUUGAAAUCGCUGUGGAGUGAGGACACAUCAUUUUUAUUUUGCAGUUCAGAUCUGGAAAUACCUGCUGAGAUUCUUCCUACAGUUGUGUAGAUGGCACUGCCGUUCGACGGUUUUGAGCUGACCUUCAUCAUCUUUGCCUUCUUCAUCUUCUCCCUCUUCAGCUUGGCUUCAAUCUGCAUCAAACCAGCAGCAAAACAUCCAGAAAACUGUGGCAGGGAAGCAAAGAAGUCACAGCCAUUAAACAAAAAGCAGAGAGUGAUCAACAAACAAGCUGGAAAGAAACCAUAAAGUCACACUCCGAGAUCUCUGUCUGGAUCUGCUGUACUACAGGGCUUCCAAUUUAUUAAAGUUCUCAUGAAUGACUCAAAAUUAACAUCAGAUUAAAGAAUGUUAUUGUAUUGAAAGGUAGCUGUGAUUGUUCCAAAAAUAUGGUAACAAUAAACGUGUUUAUAAUGAUGAAGUCUCUGAGCCAGUCUCAUACAAAGUUGGGUUAUUAAAACUGACACUUGUGACAAUUU